rnacentral:lncRNA from 1 species
CGAACUGCUGCACCCCGGGUCCUGGACCCACAGAGAGGCUGUGACCUCCUAGCACGCCUCACCAGCCCCCUUGCCUGAUCCUUCACCAAAUCUCCUCUUUCUUGGCCUUGGAGCUUCAUGAAGAAGGAGGUCUGAGAGCCCCCCAUACGCAUCAUCCCAGAAAAGUCUAGGCCCCUUCUAUUCAUUGGUAUUUUUUUUCCCUUUCAUUCAACAAGAAAUUAGUGCAUGUCAGCAUGUGCCAGGCACGAGCAAGGCCGGGAGGCAGGAAGAGGGGCGGCCCCAGGCUACAGGGACCAGCCAGCCCCAUCCCUACCCCCUCUCCUUCUCGCCUGACUCAGCCGACAGCAGGAUGGGAAUGAAGGGCGCCCCACCAGCGUCCUCCAAUUUCCCGCUAUUCAGCUCAGACCUGAGUAGCAGCAGGCAGCCGAAAGGAUUUGCAGCUCUCUCCCAAAACAGCCCUCUUGGCCACCUCCCGCUUCCCACAUGGGCAAAGUCAGGACCACACCUGAGAAGGAGCCAAUUGGAGAAGACCCACCUUGGACCCUUCCUGGAGGAGAGGCAGUUCCCUGGCUGCCAGCACAAAGGCCAGGGCUGGGCCAACGUGCCUGCAAGAGGCCUGAUUUCUUCCUGGAGACUGAAGAGCCUGGGGAUACAACCACAGCUCCCCUCCCCCAGAGCCACCUCACACCCACUGGCCUCCCUGCUCCCCGGAGGGCAAGGGCUGCAGGGACCCAGAGGGAGCACGAAUGUGGUUUCCUCUCAGCCUCACCCCCCAGAGACUUCCGCUGGGCUGUGGCCAACCUGGGCGGAGAUGUCAGCCUCCUCAGGAAGCCUCCUGCUCCGAGGGAGAGAGACAGACAAGCUGACAGUCAGUGGGGCAGGACACAAGGCCACGCCCCUUCCACCGGAGGCAGCAGGUGGGGAGACCCAGGAGAGAAGAGCGGCCGGAGAGGCUGAGGUCAGCAGCCACUUGGCUCUGGAAGCAGCUGCAGAUGUGUGGCCACACCAGCACCAGGGGACCCUAUUGUGCAUCUAUGCUGGGCUGGAAGACUGCAAAACCACUUGGCAGAAGACAUAAAUGAGAAAUCCUGUACCAAGUAAGGAUGAAAAGAAGAAUUGGAAACAAGUAUGCAAUCGGCCACCAACUAUCGAAUGGAAGCAAUAAAAAAGAACUCAACCAGGGCCGGGGAUUUAGCCCAAUGGUUCUGCCGCCUGCCUUGCAAGUGCAAGGAUCCAAGUUCGAUCCCUGGUACCAAAAAAAAAUUGUUUGUGCAAAAAGAACUCAACCCUACCCAUGCUCAUGCCUACACACUCUCGCACACCUUCCCUCUCUCUCCCUCAGAGGGACUCAGUUCCAAGGUGUGAAUACACCAAGUCUGCCCUCCUCAGGGCUGCCGUGCAUGUCAGAUGAGAAGAUGCAGGGAUGGUGCCUGCAGACGUGAACACACUCCACGCAUGUGGAUGAAGUAUCACUUGACCCCAAUUCUUCUCUCAGGGAGAAGGAAGCUCCUGCUGGGUCCUGAAGCUUCUUAGUUUUCUAGUUAGUUUCCUUUUGUUCCUCUCCAAAGCUCUGCUUACCCAGGAGAAUAAUGUCAACACUUAUGAUGCCAUUUUAAUCAUCCCAGGGGCAUUGAUCAUUAUUAUGAAUCCCAAAAUAGCUGAGCUAUUCAUGUUUGACAGUGCGAUCAUGCAGGGCUAUACAUCAUGGAACCUUCAAUGGAGGAUAUGCCUUGGUUUUCCAUGCACCUUCUCAUCUGUCGUCUCACAGAGAGGAGGUAUUCUCCCGAUUAUAGGGGUCCAAAACCAGGGGCCAAGGUGGGUCUGAUCACUCACCAGCUGGAGGACUGUGCUGGAAGGAUGGGCGCAGGUCCCUUCUCUGUUUCAGCAUGAGAUUUGCACACUGAGGGAAGUGUACGGCACCCCACACACACACACACUGUGGGCUCCAUCUUUUCUCCCUAGCAUUGAGGUUUAAGGUUCCCACCUCCUUCCCAGCCCUGUUUCCUGGUCCCACCACCUCCUCCCCUGGGUCUUGCUCAACAAUGACCUUUUGGCAUCUCUGCCUCUCCCUCUGCACAGCUUCCACCUUGCCUCCCUGACAGGUGUGUUCAUGCCCCGACCACAUACCACCUGCUCCAGACGGAUGCCCUCUCUGUUGCCCUCCCUGGCUCAGAUGCUCCUGAAAGCAGAGUCCGGGAUCCAGGCCUAGGGACAGGCACAAACUUAAGUAUCUACAUGGGUUGAAUUGUGUCCUCCCCAAGGCUAUGCUCAAGGUCUAACCUCUCAUUCCUGUGGAUGGAUCUUACUUAGGAAGAGGACCAAGUCCAGAGGAGCUCCCAUAGUGCUUCAGUGGGCUCUAACCCACUGAUGGACUUCCUUAAAAGAAGGAAGAUUUGGACCCAGAAACACUUCGGGAGACCACAAAGGCCUCAUAUUGGAGUAAUGUAUCUAUAAGCCCAAGCAUAAAAAGGAUUGCCAGCAUCACCUGGAAGCCAGUAGAGAGGUCUGGCCCUGACUCUCCCAAGAGCCUUCGGAGGGAACCACCCCUGCCAACACCUUGACUUUGGACUUUACCCUCCAGAACUGGGAGAGAAUUCGAAUGUCAUUUUAAGCGACUCUUGUCUGUUGGGAUUUGUUGCUGCAGCCACAAAGCCCAAACACAGUGUCCACCUCCUUAGGGCUUCUACACUCUCCUAAAAGAAGUGAGGCUGUGGUCAUCUGCAUCCAGUUCUUUUGCAUGCAUUGUUACAAGGACAGCUGUGGCCCUGUGGAGCCAGCCCAAAUCCCAGCCCUCUGAGGGCAGGCGCCUUGUGUCCGAAACAGGAGCACCUCAACAACCAAGCACUGAUGUCAGCACCCAGGUUCCAGCACUCAGCAUCAUAAUCAGAAGAGACCAACACCUUGCUGGGCACGCUGACCGGACUCCACCAAUGCUAUUUCCCAGCCUGCAGACCACUCUGCCUGUCUCAGAUCACAGCCACUAAUGGGGAAUCCAGGGGACUCCAAGAAGAACAAAGGCCAACCAAGACGCCAGCGUGAGCCACCAAGUCCAGCCACGGUGACUUCCCCGGGGGACUUCUGCCACCGCACCCCCUGCCCACAGGGGCUUUCCUGGCCAAAGAGAUCCCUGGCUGAGAACCUCAAGGUUGAAGAUAAAUUCAUUUGCCUUCAGGUGCUUGAGCUGAUCCAUUAAUUACAGCUGACUUGGACCGGCUCUCUGUAAACAGGAUUACAGGCAGAAGCAUUCUGUCCUCUGGUCUUCUAAUGUGCCACCACAUGUGACAAUGGCUUGCCAAUUCCAGUCCCUGUGGGGAGGGCUUGUCCCCAUGACAAUGUGCAGGUGAGCAGGCUUUCCCCUCUCUCCUCCUCCUCAGGGACAGAGGCUGCAGGCCAGAGGAGUCUCUGGUAGGAAGGGAUCAGGUGGAGCCCCUCCAGGUACCUUUUCGGCACAUGAGGCAGAGCAACGUUCAGAGGUCCGGGAUGGUGGCUGACUCGGCUCCAGGGGGCCUGAGGGGAGAGGUGAAGGCGAUUCCACCCAGCCUGGAAACUCCCCGACUCUCAGCCUUCCCACUGGGAGAGGCAUCAGUGUCUGUCCCCUCCGACCAUUCCGGAGUACACGGGGCCUAGAUGCGGGGUUGGGUGAGCACCGCUGGCAGCACUGAAUUUCAGGGGAGGCUCCACUUCCUUCCCAGAGAAACGAAAGCUCAGGGCUGUCUGGGUGUCCCUGCAGCCUUUGCCCACAGCUUAAGUUCUGACACCUCACCUCUGAGGGCGGCCAGGCAGGGCCACAGGGGGCCUUCCAGGUCCUUCCACCCGUUCUCUGGGGCUGCACACACCCAGCAGGGCGGCCCCUCCCCACCCCACCGUCACCCACCUGCAGCUCCCCGUGCCCCCCCCAGCACCUCAGCAGAUGGCAUUCUGAGUCCCACCACGGCUCCAUCCCCGCUCCCAGCCCAUUCAGGGUCCAAGGCCAGACUUGGUGGCCUUCAUUACAGACUAUAACACAAAAACACAAUAAAAUAAAA